GUAACUGAUUCUUGUGUUUGUAUGUCUUCCCCGACACCAUCCCAUGAAUCAGUAGCAGGACGGGGGAUGACGGUCGUACUUUGGGGUGCUUCUUCCCAAAUUUCAGCACAUUAAAAGCAGCUCACUGAAGCAGACCUUUGGGUAUAGCUGCUGUCCAGAACAGCUGAUUCAUCUCACCUAUGGAUUUGGCUUAAAGCAACACAGGGAAAGGCAGAUGGAGAGACUGUGUCUGCGUCCUCCUGAGCGGCCUCAUUCACUUCAAAGGAAUGCAAGUGUGAACACGGGCAGCAUGCCAACCCGUUUUCCCUCCAAGGGGUGUCCUAGAAGAAACUGGAAGACAUUGCUUGUGAAACUUUAAUAUCUGGUGACAUCCCACAAACUAAACAUCAGAAAUAUUAAGAAAAAAAUGCUUUUGUUUCACAACUAACAGCUACAAGACUCCCUGGAAAUUGGACCAUGGUUGUCCUUUUCCCACACUUCUGAUUGCUAAGUAGAAAAGCGGCUCCUUGUCAGACUAAAGAAUGACAAAGACUAAAAGGCAAGUGAUGAUGAAAACAAAUCAAACAUUAAAAAUGACGUACACCGUUCAAAAGCUUGAGUUUAUACCCAGGAGUAACCGGAAAAAUUAUUAAAGAGCCUGGUCUGAGAGCAAAGCUAGGCCAAGAACUUUCUUUCUUGCUGACAAUUCCUUAGGAAACCAAGGAGAGGAGGGGAAUUGGCAGGGGCGGGUCUUACAUACUCAAUUCUCUCCUGGACU